AAUUAAUGAACUUGUAUAAGUAUAUAUUUUGAAAGUAUAAAAAAGAGUUAAAACACUCUAUUAAUUU
rnacentral:tRNA from 1 species